rnacentral:ncRNA from 1 species
AUAAAUGCAAUGAAAAGAAGAGUAGCAGAGGGGAAAGUCCAAAGAGAGCUAGGGUAGCUGAAAACUAGCGGCAAUAAGCUUUGUGAAGAUGGUCUUAGAGCAUAUCUUUUGAGCUAAUUUUGUUAGAGAGAUACGGUAGCAACCGUUAUAUUGCAAGGUGAUGAUAGUCACCUAAUAAGGUAUUUAUUGUGAAAUAAAUACAAAGUAGAGUGGUAACGCGUAUAUUACGUCUCUAUA